AAAAAAAGAACCCCCGGAGAUUAGGAGACAAACGCGCGGGAAGAUACCAAAGGGGUUUGCCAAAACGCCGGGGAAGAGGACAUGUCCAUUUGGAAUCCGGCCCCCCCCACCAGAUAAUUUGGAUUUCAGACAGUUCUUUGGACUUACUUUUUUCAGGUCCGGCGCAUUAACUCAUAAAGAAUCCAUGCCCGUUCGUGUCGGAUGUUAGCCUUUUAAAGUUGCAUCUAGAUUACGUUUAUUUCGGAACGCGUAUUUUAAUGGUAAGUAAAUUUUUGCAAACGAUAAAAUCCGCCCAGGCUACCGAAGGGCCGGGGAGGAUUAAUGAACAAGGUGUUUUUUAGAAAAGAAAUUCAGCGCAAUCCUUGAAAGGGUGAGGGGGGUGGUUGGCACGGGAUCGGAGAUGAUAAAAAAUCCAGGGAAAAAUUCAAAAGCUCCACCGCGCCCGGGCCAGCAUCAGCUCGCCGCGGGGGACAAAGGCGCCGGGAACGUGGCUCCCCCGGGAGUGUUAUAGCCCGGCGCGCAAUGCCCCGCGGCGGACUGAGGUUCGCGCGUCCGCAAGGAUGCUGGCGUAAUGGUCUCCAGUGACCCGUCUUGAAACACGGACCGAGGAGUCGUCCUCGUAUGCGAGUGUUCGGGUGUCAAACCCCUACGCGAAAUGAAAGUGAACGCAGGUGAGAGCCUCACGGCGCAUCAUCGACCGAUCCUGAUGUUCUCGGAUGGAUUUGAGUAAGAGCAUACGGGGCCGGACCCGAAAGAAGGUGAACUAUGCCUGUGUAGGGUGAAGCCAGAGGAAACUCUGGUGGAGGCUCGCAGCGGUUCUGACGUGCAAAUCGAUCGUCAAACAUGGGCAUGGGGGCGAAAGACUAAUCGAAUUCUUAUCUUGG
rnacentral:rRNA from 1 species